AGAAAAAAGAGAGCCGCAUUUGCGCAUGCGGUUGUGACAUCAGCAUGGCAGGUGCAAAGAGCCCAUUCAGCAGGGGGGAAUGUAACAGUGUUUAGAUUAGGUUAGGUCAGUGCAAUGGGGAAAUAGCGCCCCCAUCUCUGUGUGGCUGGUUAUAGGUUGCUGGCCCAUGUACUCAGUGCCAGUCUGAGAAAGCUGCACGAAAGGUGAGUUGCAUUCUUCAGCACACAGUAUAGAAAAGUGUUAGCAACACAUAAAACAUAUUUUUUAUUAACUUAGACAGAUAGUGUGUAAUGACUAUUUACUAGAUGUGUGCCUGGCACCAAUUUUUGUAUUUUUAGUUUUGUUAAUAUAAAACACUUCAUGUGCAAAGUUAUAAGCUAACAGAAUGCUCUGUUGUAGUGUGCUGAGUGAAGCUGAGCCGUUGCACUAAUUCGAACCCCGAUAUGUUCUCAUUCAGGAAAUAAACUGUUGUGGAUCUCCGGAGGACUGGAUGAGGUUCCUGCGGCCUUCUCCACCAGGGGGCGUUCAGGAACAUCGUAGUGGGCGUGGUCGGCGGAUCCUACCGGCACACCUGCUGCCACUUACCUUGUUGGGAGGAGUAUUUCAGGAGGACAUGUCAACACUCUAGUGCCAGAGUGUUAGCUCGUAAAUGGUUUCGUUGCCGCGGAACUGCCGGCAUUCUGUCCGUCUGGAUUUCCAGUGGCCGGAAGAAUCAUCGAGACCACACGACCUGGUCCUCCUUGUUUCCCGAAGAACCUGUCUCACCUGUCCGCCCUCCAACGCCGCAGUCGCCCGUCCUCUCUGCUCCAACCCCUGAUCCACCGUGCUGCCUAUCCCUCUCAGCUCCGCUUUUUCCACCAGCAAGUAAGGCCUCGAACCGCUGAACUUCCGUUUCCCUCCCGUCACUCUGUUCUCACUUCUGUGUUCCUCUUCAGGAAGACCAUUGGUCCGGUUCCGCCCUCCCGAGUGUCACAUCCUGGAUGUUUUUCACAUUUUGCACCGUGUUUAUAAUAAAUCAUUGAACUUAC